rnacentral:lncRNA from 1 species
GCCAACAUCACAAUGAGGAAACAAUCACACAUAUUCAAAAUGUUGGACAUUCUCCAAGAUAACCAGGGUGGAAUAAUCAAUGUCAUUUGAAAAAAUGAGCAGACUAUUUCAUAUCAGAAAAAGACUAUGAAAGAAUAAAGGAAUAUCAUAGCUGUGGUGCUGAGAACAUAACCUACUCCCAUUGGUUUCCAACAACUGAGACCUUGAACAGUGACUUCUUAGCUGUAAAUCCCAGAAUCUUCUGUUUCAAAUCAAUUCUUCAGGAAAAAGAGGACAAAAUAUAAACCCAAGUGGAGAGAGUACUAAAAGACACAAGAUUUUUUUUUAGAGAAUUUAUCAAUCUAAUAUGAGCAAUUAAUUAUUUAUGAUGGUUCCUAUGUUUCACAGAGAAGUUGAAGAAAUAAGAUUAGAACCAUCUUAUGGGCUCUGGGUAAGGCUCUGCAAUCUUUCACCAUUUUUGCUUUAUUUAUUAUACCAAGUAGCAUGACAGAUGUUUGCAAUUUGACUUGAACAUUUUCAUUGUCUUUGCUUUUUUUGUUUCUUUCUUUUUAAAAAUCCAUGGUUUUUUAAUUUCCUUUUCAAUAUUUGCAUCCUUUUAUGGAAUAUAAGAGACCACUUAUAUGCACAAGAGUUAUCUCUUGUGGGUCUCACUAUUAUUAUCAUCAAAAUGCCUGAAAUUACCUGUGAGGGAACAUUAUAAAGUAAAUGAUAAAGAAAUAAUUUAAUGUUACACAUUAGGUAACCUCUAGGAAUAUAUGCUGGAACCAUAGGAAGACAUUGGGCAGGAAGAACAAUAAAAAUAUUUGGAUUGGAAGUAAAAAUGCUAAUCUACUUGUCAGAAAGGUCAUGUCUACAGUCAACAACUGUUCAAAUAGAAGCUUUAAAGCGAGGCUCAGCACACUUUUCUGUAGAGCCAGACAACAAAUAUCUCCGGCUUUGUGGUCCAUAUGGUCGACACUGCAACUACUAGAGUCUGCCAUUGUAGCACGCAAACAGCCAUAGACCAUAUGUGAAUGAAUGGUGUGGCUGUGUUCCAAAAGCCUUAUUUACAAAAACAAGGGAAGUGUUAGACUUCUUCAGAUCUUGGUGUGCUAGUCCUUGCUUUACACAACUAAGAUGAGUGUGAACUAUAUUUCAAAUAGAAGUGAGAGCCCCAAAGGUGGGCAAACCAUUAUAGUAAGAUGGUCAAGUUGCCUAGGCAGGGGCAAUUUAGACAUCUAGACAUCAUAAUUUUGAGUGAGCUAUCAAUUUAUUCAGGCAGGUUUUCUAAGUCUUAGAUUAAAGGGGUAGGUUGGAAUUUAGGGUUAGAUUCUACCUCACUGAGACAAAAUGAUACAAAUAAAAAGUUCAUGACAAGGAUAGAUAAAGACCGUGAACUUACUAGAACAUACUAAGUACAGCUGCUCAUAGCAACAAGGUUUAUUUCAGAUCUUACCUGUUGCUAGCACCAUAUAUUACUCUAACAUGCUUGCUCAAUUUGCUGUCCCAUGGAAAAAAUAAUUGGUUGAGAACUAGUCAGAAGAGUCUUUGUAACUACUUUAAGGACAAAAGUAAUGUUGCUGUUGUGUCCUCAAUAUAUAUAUACAAUAGUGCCUGGAACACAAUAGACAUUUAGUGAUCAUUCCUUGUGUACCUAGAACUUGAUACCUAUUAAAUAUUUUUCUAGUAGAAGUUUGUAAAUUAAUACUACAGGAUUUUUAGCAUUUAUUCUUUUAUAAUAUUAUAUAUAAAAUUUUACUGAUAGACAAUGUCUUCCAGUUCUUUAUACUAUCCUUUGCCACUUUAAUUCAAAAGCAUAUUAAAUUAUAUUUUAUAUUAAAAAUUUAAUUCUAAGAGUAAGAAUUACAGUUAUAAAAAUAUCCCAGGUGAUCAAAGAUAUGGAGCUAUUGCCUAAUGACAGACAUUAUAGUAUAGUGGUGAAUACAGAAAUUUAAUUUUUCAUCUCCUCCUGUCACUCCCUCUUAAGACAUUUUAGGGUCACCCUCCAUGAGGUAGCAGAUUCAUUAGCUUCUACUUUAAAUCCUGCCUCAGAGUAGAAAUCAGUCAGCUCUGUUGAGGGAAUUCCUGAGCAGAAAAAAAUAUCUUUCUAGGACAUUAGAGAGCAAUUGAGUAUUUAAAGAGUCAUUCAAAGAAGAACCUUCAGUAAGCAUUAGAGUAAGCAACUUUACCUAUAUUUUUUAAAAAGGAGAGCUGAGUCAACUCAGGCAAAAGAAAUUGAAUAUGUCAUUUUAAAGAGUCUCAAUAUAACAGAAAUGAAAUGUGUCACUAAUCCACCUUGCCAGCUUAUACAGCUUUUGAGAGUGAAAGACUCUUAGUAAUGACAUUGAUUAUUAUUAAAUGUUAGUAGCUCAGUGUUGUAGAGAAUAUAAACAGCAGUAUUUAUAGACUCUUGGUAAAAUGUAUUUUAACUUUUUAAAGACAUUGCAGAGUUGGCUAUCUUCUCUAACACAACAUAUUGUAGAAUUGUCAUUUAAUAUUUCGUAGAACUAGCUAGAGCAACUAUUCUUUCUUAAGUGGCACAUGUUCAUUUUCUGUAUUUUCCUCAUCUUUACCACCUGCUAGCAGUGUUUCAGGCAACAAAACAGCAGUGUUCUCACCAGACAGUAUAGCCUCCUCCAAAAUGGUAGCAAUCCCAAAGAUUCACAAUAAAACAAAACCUUUAAGACUAUGAUAAAUGGUUUUUAUUUCUUUUUUAAAAACAGUUCUUCCUUUAUUCUUUAAUCUUUAAACACUGAGUUGAAAUGGAUGAUUGAAAAUAUUAUUUGGGGUAUAUUGUUGUACACAUAAGAGAGUAAAUUUUAAGAGCUGAAUUAAAUUUCUCACUCUACCUUUUCUUUCAGUUUAUUUUUAAAUAUAUAUAUUUGUAGAAGCAGUUAUCUGCCAUCCGGAAAUUAAUUCUCAUUUUCUUGGAUUAUUUUAUGGUGACUACUUUCUAAGUAUUUUAUCCUUUAGUGAACAAAUGGUCUUUCUUUCCAGUUAGAAGGUGAUCCUCAAUAAUUAUGUUCUUUUCUUUAACCAAAACCUUGUUUCAAUUAUGACAUUUUGUUGAUAUGUAAAAAUUCUGAAGAAAUAAAAGCAAAAAAUAUUGAAUAAUAAUUUUGUUUAAACAACAUAUUUAGAAUAUUGAAUGACCCUGUUUAAACAAUAUAUUUAGAAUGUCUUAUUGGUAGAAAAUGUCUUCAUGAAUUUUUCAAUGGUUGAUUUUUAUAGGUAUUGUACAUUUUGUAUCUUAAAGGAACAUUAAACUUUAAAUACAAU